CUCAUAGAUAGAUAAGGCGGGAGCUACUCUCAGGCUGCAAGCAGUGACAGUGCCCAAGGUUCUGAUGUGUCUCUCACGGCUUUAAAGUGUGAGACAGCUGCCUUGUGUGGGACUGAGAGGCAAGAUUUGUUCACGCCUUCUCUUUGUGACUUGAAAAACCCUGACUUUCUUUCUGCAAAGGCACCUGAAUGUGUCUGUGUUCCUGUAGGCAUAAUGUGAGGAGGUGGGGAGAACACCCCAUCCCCGUGUCCACCAUGACCCUCUUCCCCACGCUGACCUGUGUUUCCCCCCCAUUUAUCUUUCCUGUUCCAGGGAGGUGGGGCUGGGAUAUCUCUAUCUCUGUCUCAACUUCAUGGUGCACUGAGCUGUAACUUCUUCCUUCCCUAUUAAAAUUAGAACCUGAGUAUAAAUUUACUUUUUCAAAUUCUUGCCAUGAGAGGUUGAUGAGUUAAUUAAAGGAGAAGAUUCCUGAAAUUUGAGAGACAAAAUAAAUGGAAGACAUGAGAACCUUCCAGA